UUUAUGCAGUAGCCAUGUUUGUCAAAGUAUUUGGCACCAGUGACAUCAUCUUUGUUGAAAUGCCGGACAGCGUGAUGAGUCCCAGAUGUUAACGCACACCGAAUGAGAAAAAAUAAAAUACAAAGAUCAACUGUAAGAGCUAUGGAGGACUGUACUUAGUUUACAUUCGGAUGUUGACACAUGAAGAAAAUGGAUUUUCGUCAAGGGCUCCUAAAGCUGUUAAAACUUACAGACCAAUUGAAAGAAAAGAAGAGAACAAACAACACAAUUAAAAGAAGCUGCCAAAAACUGUAGAAGUGUCAGCUGGCAAGAAAGAACCUCUGC